rfam:Schistosoma rodhaini strain Burundi genome assembly, scaffold: SROB_scaffold0002112
AUCCAGUUGACGAGUCUCAAAUAGAACGAAAAGCGCGUCAUGGAU